rnacentral:rRNA from 1 species
AAUCAACGCUGGCGGCGUGCCUCAGACAUGCAAGUCGAACGAGAAAGUUUCCUUCGGGGAAUGAGUAAAGUGGCGCACGGGUGAGUAACACGUAGGUAAUCUACCUUCGGGUGGGGAAGUAACCCAGGGAAACUUGGGCUAACACCGCAUAAUGCAGCGGCACCACAUGGUGACAGUUGUUAAAGCGGGGGAGUCUUAGGACCUCGCGCCUGAAGAGGAGCCUGCGGCGGAUUAGCUAGUUGGUAAGGUAACGGCUUACCAAGGCGACGAUCCGUAACCGGCCUGAGAGGGCGGUCGGUCACACUGACACUGACAUACGGGUCAGACUCCUACGGGAGGCAGCAGUCGGG